AUUGAACGCUGGCGGCAGGCCUAACACAUGCAAGUCGAACGAGUGGCGGACGGGUGAGUAAUGUAUGGAAAACUGCCUGAUGGAGGGGGAUAACUACUGGAAACGGUAGCUAAUACCGCAUACCAUCAGAUGUGCCCAGAUGGGCUUAGCUUGUUGGUGGGGUAACGGCUAACCAAGGCGACGAUCCCUAGCUGGUCUGAGAGGAUGACCAGCAACACUGGAACUGAGCCACGGUCCAGACUCCUACGGGAGGAAACAGUGGGGAAUAUUGGACAAUGGGCGCAAGCCUGAUGCAGCAAUGCCGCGUGGAUGAAGAAGGCCUUCGGGUUGUAAAGUACGUUCAGCGGGGAGGCGUUACCCGCAGAAGAAGCACCGGCUAACUCCGUGCCAGCAGCCGCGGUAAUAC
rnacentral:rRNA from 1 species